UACAGAGGGUGCAAGCGUUGUUCGGAAUUAUUGGGCGUAAAGGGAGUGUAGGCGGUUGGGAAAGUCUUCUGUGAAAUCUACGGGCUCAGCCUGUAACGUGCAGAGGAAACUACUCGGCUUGAGUGUCGGAGAGGAUAGGGGAAUACCCGGUGUAGAGGUGAAAUUCGUAGAGAUCGGGUGGAACACCAGUGGCGAAGGCGCCUGUCUGGCUGACAACCGACGCUGAGACUCGAAAGCAUGGGGAGCAAACAGG
rnacentral:rRNA from 1 species